GCCCGAGCCGUCCCGCGCGGCAGCCCCCAGGCAGCGAGACACUCCCUCUGGCGGAGCGCUGGGAACUUCUGGAAGGAGGUCUCAGCCCGCGCUCCUUAUAGUGCAGCGCGCAGGCGCGGCGCGCAGAGGCGGGGGAAACGCAGACCUCCUUCGCAAAGAGGGCGGCGGCGCCUCUGCCCGGAACUCGCCGCUUCAGGGACGAAGUGACCCGCGCGUCCCGCGGCCCUGCAGGUGCAGCAGCGCACUCCCCGAGUCACGCGCGUCAGGUCAAGGUCCAGUCCAGGGCACCACAUGGCAUUCAGUUCUCAUGUCUCCUUCGUUUCCUCUGUUCUGGGACAGUUUUUCAGUCAAUUUGUUUUUAUGACCUUGACAGCUUUGAGGAGUACUGCUCAGAGAUCAACUGAAAACCAUCAAUGUACCUGUUGGAAACUUGAUUGGAAGUAUAAUCUGACCUUGCUAAUCAUUUUGCAACCAGCUCCCAGGGAGAUCUGUUUCCUACCCAGUUCCUAAUCCCAAAACUAGUAUGCUUUUUUCUUUGUUGCUCAUAUUGAGUUUCUGACUGUCUUGCCCUAGUCUGGUUUGUUUUUGAAAUAUUUUUUCCAUCUGCUGGUAUUUAACACUGCUAUCAACAUGAUUUUUUUCCAGAGCAUCUCAUUCUUUAAAGGUUAUUUGGAAAAUGAACUAUGUAUUAUAUUUAUCUUUCAACGUCUUCAACACUUCUUGGUUGUGAGAGAGAAUGAAUGUUUACUCAACAUACUAACAGAGCUUACUUUACCUUGUUUUCAAACCAAUAGUAUAUGCUAGCAGAUGGCAGGGUUUUCCAACAUUUAGAGACUAUUAUUUAAAACAUUCAUGAAAGCAUGAGCCUAAAUUAUGAAAUUAUAUUCAAGUAAAUUAUAAUAAAGCAAAAUCUACAUGAAUUUAAAGCAAAAGUUCCAUAUAGUUGGGCAAGAAAAUUUAAAGAAAAUGUGGUGUGUGUGUGUGUUUGUGUGUGUGUGUGUGUAUACUACUACUCAGCCACCAAAAAUAAUGAAACCAUGUAUUUUGCAGUGACAUGGAUAGAACUGGAGGGCAUUAUUUUAAAUGAAGUAACUCAGAAACAGGAAGUCAAAUACCA